GACGGAGGGUGCAAGCGUUGCUCGGAAUCACUGGGCGUAAAGGGUGCGUAGGCGGUCUCGCAAGUCUGGCGUGAAAGCCCAAGGCUCAGCCUUGGAAGUGCGCUCGAAACUGCGCGGCUCGAGUGCCGGAGGGGAGAGUGGAAUUCCUGGUGUAGCGGUGAAAUGCGUAGAUAUCAGGAGGAAUACCGGUGGCGAAAGCAGCUCUCUGGGACGGUACUGACGCUGAGACGCGAAAGCGUGGGGAGCGAACAGG
rnacentral:rRNA from 1 species